rnacentral:lncRNA from 1 species
CAGACUUUGGAGCGGAAUGCUAGUGGGAGAGCACAAAUGAGGCCUGAGAACAACUAUCCCCAUCAUUGAGGAAUUAAGGGAAACAAUAGGUGCUAGAACAUGAAACAUGGACAUAUGUCUGCCUUCCCGGUAGGAAGUGGAAAUUUAAAACCUGGAAUUAUUUGCUUUUUGACUCAAUCAUGUUCCUCCCAUUAGGGUAGUAUUCAUUUGCCCAGGGAAGGGAGAAUUCCAAAAGAAAGCAACCAAAUCAAAGGAAUAGACUGAAUUUUCCAAAGAAGUGCUUAAAGUGAAGACACAGUCUUGAAAACUAAGGUGAUGAUGAAAGAACAGUCCUCUUGGAUUUCUUCAAAGCUUUGAGAUUAUAUUUCUUAGUUCUACUGAUAGACAAUGGCCAGAGCUGCUGUGUCACUUCCAGUGCAUGACUCACCAUGCUGUCGAAUGAACCAUCAAAAUGAUAUGGAGAUAUCAGAAGAAGAAAGUGAUCUUGAAUGUUUAGCCACUACAUGAAGGGCUGCCCUGGAGAAAUUCCUAGACUCUUAGCAGAUUUGCCUGAAAUUGUCCAAAUUUCUAUAAUUGAUCUACUCUAUAAUUGGAAUGAAGGAUAUGAAUUCUUUUUGAAUAAGGGAAUACAACGACACUAA